UUCCUUCGGGAUGAUUUCGGGGAAGCUUAGCGGCGGACGGGUGAGUAACACGUGAGUAACCUGCCCUUCAGAGGAGGAUAACAUACCGAAAGGUAUGCUAAUACUGCAUAAUAUAUUGGAAUCGCAUGGUUUUGAUAUCAAAGAUUUAUCGCUGAAGGAUGGACUCGCGUCCGAUUAGGUAGUUGGUGAGGUAACGGCUCACCAAGCCGACGAUCGGUAGCCGGACUGAGAGGUUGAACGGCCACAUUGGGACUGAGACACGGCCCAGACUCC
rnacentral:rRNA from 2 species